rnacentral:rRNA from 1 species
AACGAACGCUGGCGGCAGGCCUAACACAUGCAAGUCGAGCGAGAACUUCGGGUCUAGCGGCGGACGGGUGUGUAACGCGUGGGAAUAUGCCUCUUGGUACGGAAUAGCUUCGGGAAACUGGGAGUAAUACCGUAUGUGCCCUUUGGGGGAAAGAUUUAUCGCCAAGAGAUUAGCCCGCGUUGGAUUAGGUAGUUGGUGCGGUAAUGGCCUACCAAGCCGACGAUCCAUAGCUGGUUUGAGAGGAUGAUCAGCCACACUGGGACUGAGACACGGCCCAGACUCCUACGGGAGGCAGCAGUGGGGAAUCGUAGACAAUGGGGGCAACACUGAUCUAGCCAUGCCGCGUGAGUGAUGAAGGCCUUAGAGUUGUAAAGCUCUUUCAGCUAGGAAGAUAAUGACGGUACCAGCAGAAGAAGCCCCGGCUAACUACGUG